UAAUUGGUUUUUCUCAAAACCAGCUUAUUUUUUAUAAAAAUAGGAAU
rfam:Plasmodium berghei strain K173 genome assembly, chromosome: 2